rnacentral:rRNA from 1 species
AUUGAACGCUGGCGGAAUGCUUUACUCAUGCAAGUCGAACGGCAGCACGGGAGCUUGCUCCUGGUGGCGAGUGGCGAACGGGUGAGUAAUGCGUCGGAACGCACCGAGUAAUGGGGGAUAACGCGGCGAAAGUCGCGCUAAUACCGCAUACGCCCUGAGGGGGAAAGUGGGGGAUCGCAAGACCUCACGUUAUUCGAGCGGCCGACGUCUGAUUAGCUAGUUGGUGGGGUAAGGGCCUACCAAGGCGACGAUCAGUAGCGGGUCUGAGAGGAUGAUCCGCCACACUGGGACUGAGACACGGCCCAGACUCCUACGGGAGGCAGCAGUGGGGAAUUUUGGACAAUGGGGGCAACCCUGAUCCAGCCAUUCCGCGU